GGAUUAGAUACCCUGGUAGUCCACGCCGUAAACUAUGAUUACUCGUUUUCGGCGAUAUACAGUCGGAGACUAAGCGAAAGUGAUAAGUAAUCCACCUGGGGAGUACGAUCGCAAGGUUGAAACUCAAAGGAAUUGACGGGGGCCCGCACAAGCGGUGGAGCAUGUGGUUUAAUUCGAUGAUACGCGAGGAACCUUACCAGGGCUUAAAUGCAGGACGAAUAUACUGGAAACAGUAUAGCCUUCGGGCGGACUGCAAGGUGCUGCAUGGCUGUCGUCAGCUCGUGCUG
rnacentral:rRNA from 1 species